UUUUUUUUUUUUUUUUUUUUUUUUUUUGCUUUUUAGGGCUGUACCUGCAGCAUAAGGAAGUUCCCAGGCUAGGGGUCGAAUCGGAGCUACAGCUGAUGGCCACAGCCACAGCCACAGCAAUGCGGAAUCCAAGCCACUUCUGCAACCUACAUCACAGCUCACAGCAAUGCCGGAUCCUUAACCCACUGAGCAAGGCCAGGGGUCGAACCUGCAUCUUCAUGGAUACUAGUUAGAUUCGUUAACUGCUAAGCCACGAUGGGAACUCUGUGACUUUUUUAAUGGUUCUGAGGCUGAACUGAUGUUCUGUGAGGAAGUGUGAGAUUUCGAGAAGCGCAUUGACUUUAAAAAUGCAACGUAAUGAUUGGGUGGCUAUGCAAGCAGGAAAUCAUUUAAUUUUGGGACACUCUCUCUGAAGACCGUAAUCAUUCAGAUGGGUUUGAGCGGUCUCUGUCAUGUAGCAGUAAGUUCAGAGAUUUCUUUCCUGGGUGACUUUGAACUCUGUCUUUAGUGGUUUUAGUACAUCAUGUUGAAGUGUGAGGUAAAAAUUAUUGAAAAAAACGUUAGUGAUAUUUGUACCUGUUGUAGUGAAAGGUUAGAAUCUUCCUUCAAUUAGGAUGAGGAUACAGCAGGAUAUGAACAGGCCCAUUUGCAGGGUCAGGCUUUGGGGCCAGGAGACAGCAAGAUUCAGGUUAAGAGGGAUUUGGAAUUUAUAACUACAGUUGCGUGGAAACCAGGAUGUCAGGAAGCACCAAGGAAGAUGCAAGUUUCAAAGAUCAAGGGAGGAUAGAACCUAGAAUUCAACAGGUCCGAAGAUCUGAAAAAGUGGUUCUCUCAAACUGGGCAGGGACUGUCCAUUUCAGCCACUGUUUUAUUUUUUGCUGAUGUUGCCUGCCACAGUCCUACAGUUGAAUCUGGGACAUGCCAAUGCACCUUGUUUUUCUAGUGUCAUCAGAAUUUUUGCCAACAUAUAGCUUGAAGGUAUUUCAAAUAUAUUUUAAGCAUUAUUGCAUUCAGCUGACUUUUUAAAAGCACAAAGUGGUAAAGUAAUAUUUCUAUCUACAUAUUGGUCAUUAGAUUUAAGAGCACUUUAUGUUUUUAUAGACGACCUUAUCAUGUGUACUGCUAAUUUCAAUGCUGUUCCCGGAUUCACAUUUAUAUAGCUGUCACUGGAUGUACCGUUUGUAUUUUUCCCAGCACAAAUAUCACCUUUAUUAUUUUAAAAAAUUGUUAAGGAAUAGGUAUAAUUGUCAGUUUUUUAUGGAUGCAUCAUUGUUUUACAAUAUCAUACUAGUUACAGGUGUGCAACAUAGUGAGUCAAUAUUUUUAUACAUUACAAAAUGGUGACCACAGUAAGUCUAGUUAUCGUCUGUCGCCAUGCGAAGUUAUUACAAUAUAUAAUUGUCAGUGUUAUUGCUUUCUCAGCAGGGGCUGAAAUGUACAUUGCGGUGGUUGUUUUUUAAUAUACAGCUGGUCCGCCAACACACCCAUCUAAUUUUUUGACUCGGUUUGGCUUGGCUUGAUAAUCAAACCCCAAAUGGCAAUAAGGAUUAAAUCACUUCAGCCCAUUUAUUACAUUCUUAUUUAUGAGGUCGUUGGCUUAACACAAGCAGUAUCUGUGUUUUAUUUCAUAUCCCAGGGCCAGGCUACUCUUCACAGAUUCCAGAUGGUAUAACGGUAGACUUCAAGACCAGUGCUUUCUGGUUCCUAGGCUUUUCUGGUUUCUGAGGGGCACUUUAGGAUUAUGGAAGUGGUUCUAGAAAAACACCACCACUUGUCAAAAUCUCUUUGGCAGAUACUCUAAGCUCUCUUUGUAGGUACCUUAUCUAAAAACAUUCCUUUGCUGGCAAGUGUUGAGGUCAUCCUGUUCCACAAAAGGCAAGGCAGGGAGACCUACUGGCUUUCCGUUGGCAAAGGAUGGGUGGUUAGAGAUUUUUCCAGUAACAUAGAGAUUUAUGAUUACUCAUCCGUCUUCCUACACUCAGUCUCCUUAGUGACAGAGGCACACAUGCUGUGUUGUAAUAUUUGACUCCUGGACGCCUGUUCCCACUUUGCAAAUACAAUUUUGACUUGACCACAACAGCAAGUCUUACUAAAACAUUUUCCAUUUUAGGACAAUUAUCUUUAUUUAUUAAAGUAAUAAAAAUAUAAAUGAAAAAAAUAAAUGGGGUUCCAAUUGGCUCCCACAUCCCUGGAAAUGAAAGUGGAAAAUUUUUUGUUUAUCUGUGUCCAAGAGAAAUUAAGAGCAGUGCUAUAUUGGUGCUACAGAUAAGAACAUAAGUAAUCUCAGAUCCCUGGGGAAAUCACUGCUCUUCAGACUGAGACACUUCAGCAUUACUCCAAGUAGGAGUCUGCCUCUUUUCUUCAUGCCAUUCCUUGUACCUGAAAGAUAUUACAGGAACUGAAACUGGAACUGGAGGGCUUGAGAGAGCGUCUUAGAUUUAGAACUUCUUGAGGGCAGAUACUCAAGGAUCCGUCUUGUCUCUGUAAACCUUUGCAGUACCUGUAGCUGCAUUAUGUUCAUGGUAGGGGGAAAGAUUCCAUAAGCUGUACUUGCUAACUUGCUGAGUUUCUGCAGUCUUGUGAGCUGCUGUAAAUCCCUUCUGGAACCAGUGUCAGUAGUAUGUCCUCACUUAAAAACUAUUCCAGGGAAGAACUUUCUUAACCUCUUGAGUAUACUUACCUAAGUAUUAGAGAUUUUUCUUUCUUUACGUGAUGAAAGUCAUACUAAAGAGAGCUUACCUUUGGGAAUCUUACCUAUUUGUUGUAAAGAGAAGAUUUCACCCUUUUGCAAACUCAAUAAUCCAUGUAAAAUAAUCUAUUGAGACUUUGAUGCCACGAGAAGUCAAGUCAUGGACAAGAAAGCACAUCACCCUAUUAUGUGCCCAAUGGUCUGGGAAGGCUUCUUCCUGCAGGGAGUUGAGCUGAAUCUCCAUGGAUUGGAUGGAUUUGGAAAAGAGGCGUGUGAGGAGGGCCUCCCAGAGAAGGAGGAUAAGGGGAGCAAAGUAUGAGAGUUGGGGAGAUUAGAGGGAGUGUUUAGGAGAAACCAAAGACCAGUUUGACUAGCAUGGUGACUUUGGGAGAAUGAGAUAUUAUAGAUAAGGCUGGAAAAGUGGGUGAGGAAUACAUGGCACAGAACCAUGAAUAUAAGCUUAUGCAGUUUGGACUUUGCUGCGUAAACAAAAAAUCAUUUGGAAGGUUUUUGAGCAAAGGAGUGACACAAUCUCGGUGGUAUUUUUGGAAGAUUUGAUUGCAGAGCCAGGUACAGGGUGCAUUAAAUUCGCUGACAGGAGAUUGGACAGGAAGACCAGUUAGGGUUACUGAAUCCACCUAUUAAAGUCUCAAGGCCCUGAAAUUGGGAGUUAGUGAUGAAAAUACAAAGGAAGAAUUAGAUACCAAACACAUCUUGCUGAAGUAUGACAGCAGCAGCACCUUUGCUUCUGAUACAGGUGGUAUUGGGCAGAAAUACCUGAUCUGUUAGUUAUUGGGAACAAACAAGUCCUUUAUCGAAUUAAAAGGAAACUGAAUUUGGAUAUUGCAAAUCAGUUUUCCCACGCAUCACUUGUGUUCUUUGGGUACUUGUGACCUCUGCAAGUUUUUCUCAACAGGUUCCAGUUCACUGUAUAAAUAAUUAGUUUCAGCCCAGCAUGCUACAAGAAGGGUGCCUUUUAAAUUGUUUAGUACAGCUGAUUAAAUUAAUUCCAGAGACUAAAUUUUAGAUCUUCAAAGAGCAUGUUUUCGCUUGGGGUAAAACAUUACCGUGGCUGAAUUACAUAUUAUCAAGCUGCAUGAGCUGUGGGCUACAAUAUUUUUGUUUUAAAGGGCAACUUUUUGGCCCCAGCUUAGUGUUGCUAGACAAUUCAGUCAAAGGAUCCGGAAUAGUUACAGUUUUCCCUAAAGCCCUUAUUUAGGGCUCUCUUUCCUCAUUCUCCACCCUCGUCCCAUCACCUCUCUCACUCACACGUUGCCUGGCACUCCAAAUCUUCCUAAAAUUUGUCACUCCUUGCUCAAAAGCCUUCUCAAUGGUUUCGCUUAUGUAACAAAGUCCAAACUCCAUUACCUUAUUCCUGGUCCUCCACACAGGCUCCUAAUCCAUUUCGGGGAUUCAUACAUAGAAUCAAUGAUUCUAGCAUACUCUUAAUUAUUCUAUUUAUACUAAAUGAGCACACUAAUGUAGACUAGGGAAUCUGAACAUGAUGCUAGGCUGUAUCACCUGAAUUUCAGUUGGAGCCCAUGCCAAUGUAAAAAAUUCACUUUCAUAUUUUGACUUUUACUUUUUUUUCUUAGGGCACACCCAUGGCAUAUGGAAGUUCCCAGGCUAGAGGUCGAAUUGGAGGUAGAGCUGCUGGCCUAAGCCACAGCCACAGCAAUGCAGGAUCCAAGCCGAGUGUGCGAACUACACCACAGCUCACAGCAAUGCCAGAUCCCCCACCCACUGAGUGAGGCCAGGGAUCGAACCCGCAUCCUCAUGGAUACUAGUCGGAUUUGUUUCUGCUGCACCACAACAGGAACUCCCAUAUUUUGACUUUUAAAUUUCAGUGUUUUAUUUAACUACUUGGUCAUAGAGAUUUCCAUAUAUGAAAUUAAUCAACAUAGUUGUCCCUGUCAGUGACUCUGACUUUUAAAAAAUUAAUUCAUUAAGAGUUCCUGCUGUGGUGCAGUGGAUUAAUGAUCUGGCUUGACUCUGUGGCAUUACCCAUUUGAUCCCUGGCUGGGAGCAGUGGGUUAAGGAUCUGGCAUUGCCACAAUUGUGGCAUAGGUCACAGAUGUGGCUUGGAUUUGAUCCCUGGCCUGGGAACUAACAUUUGCUGCUGGUGCUGCCUAAGAAAAGAAAAAUAAGUAAUUCCAUAAAAAUUAAUUCAUUAAUAUAUAGCUUUUUUUUUCUAAAAGUAAUUUAAGGCAGUUUAUGGUGAUAUAUAAAAUAUGCCAAGGUAUAAUUAAAAAUAGGUGAGAUAGGAGUUCCCGUUGUGGCUCAGUGGUUAACGAAUCUGACUAGGAACCAUGAGGUUUCGGAUUCAAUCCCUGGCCGCAAUCAGUGGGUUAAGGAUCUGGCUUUGCCGUGAGCUGUGGUGUAGGUGGCAGACUCGGCUCAGAUCCCACGUUGCUGUGGCUGUGGUGUAGGCCAGUAACUACAGCUCCAAUUUGACCCCUAGCCUGGGAACCUCCAUAUGCUGUGGGAUCGGCCCUAGAGAAGGCAAAAAGACAAAAAAAAAAAAAAAAAA
ensembl:lncRNA